rnacentral:sRNA from 1 species
CUUCCGUGCCCAUGGCGGGCGUUUCCUCCCUUCGACUUGAGGCCCCGUCCGAUCCCGGACGGGGCCUUCUUAUGUGGACC